UCAUUGGCCUGUGAGAAACAGCUGAUCGUCGGCAGUCCCUGCUGAUGAUCUAUCCAAAGAAUAAAUCAGUUAUAAAAAAGGUACAGAACCCCUUUAAAGAGGUUUGUACAACUUUUGACCAGGUACGUUUUAAUGAUGGUAGAUGAUGGAUCAGAACAUCUUUCAUGGAUCUUCUUCUCG